rnacentral:rRNA from 1 species
UACGAAGGGGGCUAGCGUUGCUCGGAAUUACUGGGCGUAAAGGGCGCGUAGGCGGCCUUCUAAGUCGAACGUGAAAUCCCUGGGCUCAACCCAGGAACUGCGUCCGAUACUGGUUGGCUUGAAUCCGGGAGAGGUGAGUGGAAUUCCGAGUGUAGAGGUGAAAUUCGUAGAUAUUCGGAAGAACACCAGUGGCGAAGGCGGCUCACUGGCCCGUUACCGACGCUCAGGCGCGACAGCGUGGGGAGCAAACAGGG